UGUCUGUGUGUGUGUGUGUGUGUGUGUACUGCAGUGUGAUGGAGGUUUUUGUACAACGGUUUCAUUAGAAUGUAUCACUGUGGUACACUUUUGGUGGAGGCUCCAAACUCAUGGUGAAAACUGCUCCCACUGUGUCUCUGCUCCCCCCGUCCCCUCUGCAGCUGUCUGAGGGAUCGUCCUCGCUGCUCUGCCUGCUGUCUGGCUACUCUCCACAGGGGGCGCUGGUGAGCUGGACAGUGGACGGCUCAGUGGUGAAGACCGGCGUUCUGAACAGCGCAGAAGAAGAGAAGAACGGUCGUUACAGCCUCAGCAGCACCCUGACCCUCAGCAAAGACCUCUGGGAAAAGGGGGAGGAGUUUAUCUGUAAGGUCUCCCAUAACAACGUGGAUCAUCCAGUCACGUUCAGAAAGAGUCAGUGUGAAGUCGAAUAGAUCCAAGCUAGAGUUUAACAUAGAGCUGCUUCUGAUCCAUCUACAAUCGAGUUUCAAUUCUACACAACGCUGCAUUUCUGUCUUUACUCUGUUCACUGUCCUGUUGCUCUUCCUGUAGUUUUUGCUGAAAUAAAGCUGAGUUUUGGA